rnacentral:rRNA from 1 species
UGGGGAAUAUUGGACAAUGGGGGACCGGUAGCAUCCAGCCACGCGCGUCGUGUGAGAAGGCAGCUUAUGGUUGUAAAGCACUUUAAGCGAGGAGGAGGCUCUUUUGGUUAAUACCCAAGAUGAGUGGACGUUACUCGCAGAAUAAGCACCGGCUAACUCUGUGCCAGCAGCCGCGGUAAUACAGAGGGUGCGAGCGUUAAUCGGAUUUACUGGGCGUAAAGCGUGCGUAGGCGGCUUUUUAAGUCGGAUGUGAAAUCCCCGAGC